AUGGGGGAUCCCUACAUAGCGGGUGGGACCCACGGCGAAUGGUUCAUCAAGUCUUCAAAAAAGAAUAUAUACGAUUGCAUUGCAUAUACUAACGGAUGCGAUCAUACCAGCACUAAUGCACCGGAUCCCAUCAGAACUCCGCAGUUAAGCGUGCUUGGGCGAGAGUAGUACUAGGAUGGGUGACCUCCCGGGAAGUCCUCGUGUUGCAUCCCUCUUUAAUGUUUAACCUUUUUUUUUUUGG
rnacentral:rRNA from 1 species